rnacentral:lncRNA from 1 species
AUUGUUAGAUAAAUAAGAGAGAACUUAGGUAAAUAGUUUCCUGUAUAUCACUUCCUGUACAAGGGUUUGGAUUGGAGAACAGACUUUGUACAUGUAAUCUGAGUUGUAAGUUUUAUUUUCUACUUUUAAAUGAAUUUAUGUGUAUAUUAGUAUAUUUAUUUACAGUACUUGUUUAAUACUUUGUAUGUUGAAUCUUUUUGGUGUGUAAUAAGAUAGAAAUUUGUAUCCAUUUUAAAAUAUUUUUCUUUUCUUAUUUCGAAAAAAAUGUACCUAGCCUUCAAAAUUGGGCUAAACACCACAACCAGAGGUUGUUUGUCAAUCAAAAAGGUUACAACUAUUUGGUUUUCCCCUUUAUUAGAGGGAAUGUGAAUUUAAAACUUUGUGAAUGUGUUAUUUAGAUUGUAAUUCUCUUUAUGACUAAUAUCUUGAGAGUGAAGGGUUGACUUGUUGUGGCUUACCUAGAAUAUAAUAGUACAUUAAGUAAGUUUUUUUCAGUCUGUACAUCUGUCUUGUAAGUUUGUGUGUGUCAAGUAUGUGGUUAAAGUUAUUGUUUGAAAGUACAUGUAGUUCAAUUACUAGGAAGUUGUGGUCACAAUGUUUACAUGUUCAGUAUAAUGUGUACUUUUUAAAAAUAUAUACAUGUAUAUACAAAACCAGAGUUUUGACCAAGAUUUUGCAGUAAACUAAGCUUGACUGGGUUGAUUCUAGUGCACACCAUUUGAAAUAAUUUUUUGGUGUACAAGGCAUCUCUUAUUUAGCCUCACUCUACUUGACUUUGUUAGGAUCUCCCUCUACUAGAAACCUUAGCACCUUUCAUGGUGUUUAAUGCACACAUUUUUCUCUCCCAAUCUUGAAACAACCAGUUUUGAUUUCAUCUACAUAAUAUUGUUAAGGACUCUCAAGUAGUUAGUGAAUUCUCUUCUUGUUUUUCCCAAAUUUGACUUAAAUACACUUAUAAAUGUAAAACACAGUUAUAUUAUAUUUAUUUUCAAGUAAUUAUAUAAUGAUUAAGCAUGUUAAGGGAAACAAAUCAGUAAAGUCAUGAAAGUGUUCCAACAAAAAUAAUUAGUGAUGCACUUAGCAUUAAAAGGAUUUGAACAAAUAUAAUUGGCGUACCAGUUAAAUACAUGCAUUGUAAAGUAGUCUUAAUAGCAGAGGUCAGGAAUUUAAUCAAUUAUAAGUGCAUUAUGCAUUUAUAGAUCACAUUCCAGGAAGUACUAUCUUGUGUAAAACGAAUGUACAUUCUACAAAAAGUGUAUGUGAUAUUUUUUUUUGUUUCUUUAAUAUCUACCUCCUGAGAAGAAUACAAAUAUUAAAACAAUAACACAGUUUAAGCAUGCUACAUUGUGUGUACAUAUCAAAAUUUGUAUUCAAGAAUUUAUUGAUAAUACAUUAAAUAACAAAAAAAAAAAGGGGCUGGGGACCCAUACUUCUGAUAUUUGUGAAAAGGGGGGAAUGAAAAAUUAAGAUACAUUCCAAUGUAAAAGUUUGAAAACAAAAUCUUUGUCACCCAUUUUGGAAUUUGAUUAACAUGAUUAAAACUGGAGCAGAAGUGCUCUAAUAAAAAAGACGAAUUCAGGAGCAAACAUUUGGAAGUAUUUUUUUUUUAGCUCACUGGGCCCUUCCACCUGAAGUGAGCUUUUCUUUAAGUGGUUUAAUCCACUAUUUUCUACAUUUGAAAAUGCCUGUACGAAGUCAGGAAUUAUGACAGUUCUUGUCCAUUUCGUUUUUGAUGCGUUUUGUUAUUUGAUUUUGCCAUGUGAUUAUGGACUUUCCGAAUUGAUUUUCCUCUAAGUUCAGUAUUUUUGUGAUUUUACUUUUUUCUCAUGUCAUGUUGUUCGUCAUCUGUGAACUUAUACAAAAAUAUUCUCCUCUGAAACCAAACUUGGCAGAAGUCAUGUAAGUCAUCAUUGAGGCAUUAAGUUUUUAAAAAUGUGUCUGAUGACCCCUCCUGCCAACCAAGGAUGCAGACUUGACCAAGAAAAGAACAUAGGGUGGGGUACAAUACAAUAGUCAUGGACUUUUCUAUUUAAUAUAAAAAAAAAAUGUGCAGGUAUGAUUGUCAAUGAGACAACUUUUCACACAAAAAUUUACAGCUAUAUGUGACAAUUGUCACCACAACGGGCUUCACCAAUGUGCAAAGCCCAUACCAUAUAGUCAGCUAUGAAAGGCCAUAAAAUGACAAAUGUAAAACAAUUCUCAACUAUACAUGUAAAACUGAAAUGUGAAUCAAUGAUUUGUAAUUCAGCACAAAAAUCUCUCAAUCCUGUCCAUCAGUUAUUUCAUUCCUUUUGAUUUUUGAUACUGCCUAUAUCUAAUGAACAUGAUUUUUGAUACUGCCUAUAUCUUAUGAACAUGAUGAAGUUAUUUGAAAUUUAAGUACGACAUGUAUUAAAGUAGUCUAGUAGAUUAUACGGAGAAACAUUAAACAUGUACACGCAGAAACUGUGACAAGUGUACAUAAUUGAUGCUCUUAUAAAAACAGAUAGAAAUAAAUAUUGAUUUGUUUUUAACAAAUACAGAGCUAGAUUACUGACAUUUUAGUACAUAAGCCUACAUUUAUAGAAACCUUUUAAUCCUUACUUAUCAAUAACAAUAUAAUAUGAUAUACAAUGGACACUGGACAUCAACAUGAGCUGUUGAUCUAUGUAAUAAAACCUUGUCAUGAACAGAUGUUGUCAUUAUAAAGGCAUAUUAUUUUAUUUUAUAGGACAAAUCCAGCAGUGAAUUGAACUUGAAGAUUAGAAAGGAAUUGUGAUUCGUCCUUGCAUAGAAGGUUUGUACAUGCACAGAUCUAAAUUUUAAUUGAUUAAAAUAAAUUUUGUUGGAAUACCAGCUGCAUUAAUUAUAUUUUGUAAUUGUUUAAAUUCCAAUGAAUAUUUGAUCAAGCCAUUCAAGGUCACCACUUGAAUAAUAUUGUACAUUUUGAAAGUAACGGAGACUAAAAGACCACUUUCGAAUUUGUCCAUCAAUGAAAAAAAACUCUUCAAUUAUGUGCGCCUUUAUGACUUCAUUUACCAGAUAGAGAGGAUCACCUGUAUCCCUGCACUAUUAACGUUUAUCAAGCGUCUAAGUGAUCAUCAUUGUGCAGGAUAAACUGGAAAUAAUAUUUGUCCUGUAGGUACCUUAUCACAAUUCCCUUACGUUAGCAGUGCUGAAUAUCAAUUAUAUGAAUUUAAUUUGCUGAAUAAUUCGUGCAAUAUAGCAUUAUCAUUUUUUCCUCCAAUCACUCAACAAAAGAACAGAAGUGAUGACGCCCCUAAACGCACAAAUGAUGUUCACUAAAACCAAAGUUGUCUAUUAGGGCAAUAAAAUAAUGCCUUUGUUUCUACUACAUGCUGAAAAAAUAAAUGACUCAAGUUGUAGCAAUGAUCGCAUGUUCAUGUACUGUUGAAAGGUGUGAAAAGUAGCUAGUUUUUGAAAAAAAAAAAUGAUAAAAAUUCAAUAGAUUCCUUAUCAGUAGACUUAUACAAUAGUCCUUAUUAUCUUUUACUGAAUUAAUUAUAUAUAUAUAUAAUUUAAUUUUGGAUGUAACGCGUCUUCCGAUUGGCUGACGUUAUUUUGUUAUCAGACCAUAGACAUAAUUUAGUCAUGUGACCGUGACGUCAUCAACGUUUUUUCAAGGUUUGCUAUGGUUUAUAAUGGAAUUUAGAAUUAAAUAUAAGAAAUGACUGUAAUAUUUUUUCUGUCUAUUCGAAAUAACAUAAAAAAUGUGGUGCACUGUUAAAUAACCCGCUACGCGCGUUAUUCAGUGUGCACCACAUUUUUUAUGUUAUUUCUUCAUAGACAGAAAAAAUAUUACAGUCUUUCUUUAAAUAUGUGAAAUAUAAUAUCAGAGUCCAGUUAUGUAAAGAUUGCACAUAGAUAAUUAGCACACAUGAAUUUCAUUCCUCAUUUUAACCAUGAGUUAUAACAGUCAUGACAGUGGAUUUUCUUUGUAUUAUACUCCUCUUGUAUAAUACAGAAUGUACAUGUUUAUGUGACACAUUUUAUUAGGUGUAUAUAUCUAACAUAUCCUAUACUGAUAUUUUGUAUUUCUAUCUCACAGAAAUAAACAAAAUGAAUGUCUAUCGCCAGCCAGCGCAGUGGGAAGACAAACGCACAAAAGAUUUACGGAAUCAAGUUACACUACUGAAUACACAUCUUGGUGUACAAAGGUCAAAGUUGUCAUCAACGAUACCAGAACUCGUGCAAUACUGUGAGAAGCACGCUGUACAGGAUCCUUUCCUAUUUCCUAUUAGAGACAAUCCUUUUAAACCAAUAAGACGACCGUGUUGUAUUAUAUAGAAGAUAACUGGAUCAAAACAUGUGUGAAUGUGAUAAAUAUGUGGUAAUUAUACAAUAUUUAGUACACAGUUACAAGGAGUAGUGGAUUUAGAUAUUAGAAGAUGUGGCAUGACUGCCAAUGAGAAAACUCUCCAUCUAAGUCACAAUUAUUAAAAAGUAAACUUCUAUAGGUCCAACUACAGCCUUGAACAUAGAGGAACCUAAUAUAAGCUCACACCAAACAGCAAGCUAUAAACUUAAAAGAGCCCUAAAAAUUACAUGUUGUGUAAAACAAUGUUUUACAGGAAAACAAACGGUCUAAUCUUUAUAAAAAAAACAAUGAGAAACUCAUGAAUCACAUCAACAAACGACAACCAAUGAACAAGAGGUAGAGAGAGGAACAUGAAUCUGUCUGUUCUGUUUACAGUUUAACAGACAAAGAGAAAUAAAUGCAUUAUCCAACGUUACCAAUAUUCAAUGUUUAUAGCUUUCUUGACCAUGUUUACCAUUCAGUGCUCUCAACCACUUAGAUUAAUGAUAGGAAAAGAUAUUUGAUGUAUCUUACUGGAUCAGUAAGUUUCCAAUGAUAUGCUCAUAUAAAUAGUUUUGUUCUUUUUGACAUUUACCUUUCUAAAGCUACAUGUAUGCCCUUACCAAACCAACUUUACCGUGCGUAUUGUUGUGCGUUUUUUUUUUCUACAUUGGCUAGAGGUAUAGGGGUCUAAGGGUUGAGAUCUCAAAAAACAUGUUUAACCCGGCCGAAUUUAUGCGUCUGUCCCAAGUCAGGAGCUUCUGGCCUUUGUUAGUCUUGUAUGAUUUUUAAUUUUAGUUUCUUGAGUGUAAUUCGGAAUUUAGCAUAACAUCCAUUUUCACUGAACUAGUAUUUAUAUUUGUUUAGGGGCCAGCUGAAGGACGCCUCUGGGUGCGGGAGUUUCUCGCUGCAUUGAAGACCCAUUGGUGGCCUUCUGCUGUUGUCUGCUCUUUGGCUGGAUUGUUGUCUCUUUGACACAUACCCCAUUUCCAUUCUCAAUUUUAUGAAAAUUAGUGUUUAUUUCCUUUCUUGAUGAUUAUUUAAAAAAGUUCUACUUUGCCAAUUCAAAAGACAUUUGUAAUACAUUGCUUUGAAACAUUGCUUUGAAACAGGUAAUUUUAAUUUGCGAUAAAAGAUUUUUUUCUGCUGGCAAGAGUAGAUGUGAUCAUGCCACUUGAUUGCAUGCAUGUUUCUAGAUUCUGUUGAUAAAUUCCAAUGUCUAAUGAAAUACAAUCUUAUUAUUUAUAAUGAGGUAAAUAUUGACAUGCCUAUUUUUUUUUUUUUCAGAUUCAACAAAUGAUAGAAGUAACUGUAAUACAUAUAUUUUCCACGAAGAAGAAAUUCUGUUGUUGUAGCUGUUAAAAUAGUAAAUGGUCAGUGGAGCUGUUCAAGAUGUUUAUUGUCAGUGGCUUAUAUAUGAUGCUAUUAAUUGCCUUCAAAACUCUGUCAAAAUUACUAUAGUGCCAUUGCUAAAUAGAAAACCAAGAAAAUCUUUUGAAUUUUUUUUAAACUAAAAAAAAUAUUAUAAAAAAAAUUAUAUAUAUUCAUUGCUUAAUAAAUCAUGCCAAACUAGAUAUUUGCUUGUGUGCCUUUAAGUGUGGGUGCUAAUAUAGACAUAUUCAAGAUCUUUAUUGUAUU